rnacentral:rRNA from 1 species
CGCGACCUCAGAUCAGACGUGGCGACCCGCUGAAUUUAAGCAUAUUAGUCAGCGGAGGAAAAGAAACUAACCAGGAUUCCCUCAGUAACGGCGAGUGAACAGGG